rnacentral:rRNA from 1 species
UAGGGAAUCUUCGGCAAUGGGGGGAACCCUUACCGAGCAACGCCGCGUGAGUGAAGAAGGUUUUCGGAUCGUAAAGCUCUGUUGUUAAGGAAGAACGAGUGUGAGAAUGGAAAGUUCAUACUGUGACGGUACUUAACCAGAAAGGGACGGCUAACUACGUGCCAGCAGCCGCGGUAAUACGUAGGUCCCGAGCGUUGUCCGGAUUUAUUGGGCGUAAAGCGAGCGCAGGCGGUUAGAUAAGUCUGAAGUUAAAGGCAGUGGCUCAACCAUUGUAGGCUUUGGAAACUGUUUAACUUGAGUGCAGAAGGGGAGAGUGGAAUUCCAUGUGUAGCGGUGAAAUGCGUAGAUAUAUGGAGGAACACCGGUGGCGAAAGCGGCUCUCUGGUCUGUAACUGACGCUGAGGCUCGAAAGCGUGGGGAGCGAACAGG